AGUGAACGCUGGCGGUAGGCCUAACACAUGCAAGUCGAACGGCAGCACAGUAAGAGCUUGCUCUUACGGGUGGCGAGUGGCGGACGGGUGAGGAAUACAUCGGAAUCUACUUUUUCGUGGGGGAUAACGUAGGGAAACUUACGCUAAUACCGCAUACGACCUACGGGUGAAAGCAGGGGAUCUUCGGACCUUGCGCGAUUGAAUGAGCCGAUGUCGGAUUAGCUAGUUGGCGGGGUAAAGGCCCACCAAGGCGACGAUCCGUAGCUGGUCUGAGGGGAUGAUCAGCCACACUGGAACUGAGACACGGUCCAGACUCCUACGGGAGGCAGCAGUGGGGAAUAUUGGACAAUGGGCGCAAGCCUGAUCCAGCCAUACCGCGUGGGUGAAGAAGGCCUUCGGGUUGUAAAGCCCUUUUGUUGGGAAAGAAAAGCAGCAGGUUAAUACCCCGCUGCUCUGACGGUACCCAAAGAAUAAGCACCGGCUAACUUCGUG
rnacentral:rRNA from 1 species